GGGAAACUUUGUCAGCAGUUAGUGAUGGAAAACUUAGACUGCAAAAAAUUGACAUCUAUACUUCCCCAGUGACAAAACUAGAAAGAACACUGGCUACGGAUUAAACUUGAAUUUCUCGCACACUUGGACAGUUUCUAUCCUUCAGGUUCUUGCUACUCAAGAACAGGCAGUAUUAGCAUCACAUAGAAGCUUAUGAGAAACGCAGAAUCUCGAGUCCCACCCCAGACUACAGAAUCAAAAUCUGCAUUUGGACAAGACUCUCGGGUAAUUCUUAUACACAAGGAAGUCUGAGAAGCACAGGUCUUGAUCGUUCUCACUUUCUGUCCAGUAUCAUUAAUUAUGGUUCUAAAGACUUGUGCUGAUUUUCCACUGUUGUUCCAACAACUUAUUUCUAAGAGAGAUGUGAGGAUUAUAAGAGAAAUGUGGGAGUGAGGUGGCAGGUAAACCACGAAUCAGAUUCUAGUAUCAGGCUUGUUACAAAUAGGCUGUGAGACCUCAGGCAAAUGACUGUCUCUGUAACUUAAAUUCCCCCUCUACAACAAGUGUUUUUGGAAAGAAGAAGAUCAGAAAGAUGGAAAUGAGCAUAGAUUAUUCUAAGGUCCUCAGGAAGCAACCAAGUGGGGAAGGACCGAAAGAAGUAAGGCAAGGCUUAGGAUUCGGAUGCUGAUUUCCUCACAAAGAGUUCAUGGUGUGGUGGAAAUUCUCUCUCCUAUCAGGAGGCGAGUCUGACCCUUCUUUGUGAGAUUCCCACAGGUUGCACCAGGGCCUUUCCCCAUUUAGGAUGAAUGAUGAAUUCAACUAGGUUUCUGCUUUACCAGCUUCCUGAAGGAUUUCUGAAUCUCAAACAGUGAUCACAGUGAACUUAACUGAAGAAAUAUUUAUAGAAUGGAAAAAUCAGGAAAGAAAGAUAGCAGUGCAACACAGCAGGACUCACCACCACCAAGGUCAACCGCGGGGAAGGAGUUUGUGUGCUGAAGCCUGCUGAAGAAGUAGCAGACACAGAGGAACCUGGAGAAGGCAAUAAUCCUUCAGUGUAUCUUUUCCAAAGAUUCCCCAUCAUUUCACACCAGGGUGUACUGAAAGUGAGAAUAGAAAUCCAGAAGGAGAUUCUGAAAAGGUCUUGUUAUCUGGAGAUAAAAUUAUCUUGUCCCACCGACACAUUUCUAUAACCAAAUUUUAAAAACAAUUUUUCCCCCAAAUGAUGAGAGGAAGCAGCAAGAACAUGCAAAAUACUAGAAAUAAACAAUUUGAAUGCAAGUGAAAAAUCUUAAAUUAGCUUUUGAAAAUAGAAAAUUAGUUCUUCAAGUAUUUUUUUCAUUCAGUAAUGAUUUAUUGAGUACCUCUGCAGCACCAAAUCUGGAACCAUACUACAUGGGUUGAAA